ACGAAAUAUUAGGUUAGCCGACUGCCUCUUUUGCUAGUGUAUCAAAAUGUUGGCGGCAGUUCCAAUUUUGCCGCCAGGCGAGGCAAUUUGAUGGGAUCUCUCACCCAUCGUCUUUCUUUUCCAUAUCGCUUGACCCUUCCAUUUCGAUCGCGUUUCCUAGCUGGAGUUUGCUUUCGUGACUUCGGCCUGGUAGCAGAAGAUUAGAAAGAAGAAGGGAUGGCGAGUUCAUGGUAGCCCUGUUCUUGAUGACGCCAUCUUCCAAAGGAAAGAAGAACGAGAGUAUUCCAGUUCGAAUCAUCAACCGAGGGAGGCAAAGGGGCAAAAGAACCCAAAUUUGAUGUUCCUUCAGGUAGCCCUCCUGUUCUUGCUGAUGCAAUCUUCCGGCAAUGGAAGCAAAUUAUUCCAGUUAGAAUCAUCUGCCGACGGAGGCAAAGGGCCCAAAAAAAACCCGAUUUUGAGUAGCCCUGUUCUUGAUGAUGAGGUUUUCCGGCAAUUCGAGGUUCCUCCCGAAGGAAUGGAUCAUGUGGAGGGAGACCACCGACCGCAGUGGAAGCAGCUGAUUCCAGUUAGAAUUAUCAUUUCAAGUAAUCAUUCUGCCAUCUAAUGAAGUCAGAUCAGAGUCAUAUGUUGGAAAUCAACUCAUGUUGGAAUGGAGCAAUGUAAGUGACACAAGGCAACAUCAUCUCAUUCUGGUUUAGUUCAAUGGACGCGUUGCCGCGACACACAUCUCUUCCAGCUUUCGAUCACUCUCGCUGAUCCCCGGAUGGAGCUCUUCAGCCGCGGCAGCAGUAGCGGUCGAGCUCUCGCCGGCCGGCUCAGAGAGGUCGACUAGC